GAAAAUGAAAGCUAUGGGCCAAGUGCUAUCUAAAGCUAGAGAGCAGCUCUAUGAUUGCAAGCUCGUGACAACGAAACUGAGAGCAAUGCUGCAAUCUGCGGAUGAGCAAGUCAGAGGGUUGAAGAGGCAGAGCACUUUUUUGAGCCAAUUAGCUGCAAAGACUAUACCGAAUGGGAUUCACUGCUUGUCCAUGCGUUUGACUAUUGAUUAUUAUCUCCUUCCUCCUGAAAAAAGAAAGUUCCCAAGAAGCGAGAAUCUGGAAAAUCCUGAUCUCUUCCAUUAUGCCCUAUUUUCUGAUAAUGUUUUGGCUGCUUCAGUCGUUGUCAACUCAACUAUCGUGAAUGCUAAGGAACCAGAGAAACAUGUCUUUCAUCUAGUCAGUGAUAAAUUGAACUUUGGAGCUAUGAACAUGUGGUUUUUGUUGAACCCUCCUGGAAAAGCUACAAUCCAUGUUGAGAAUGUAGAUGAAUUCAAGUGGCUUAAUUCUUCAUAUUGUCCUGUCCUGCGGCAGCUAGAAUCUGCUGCUAUGAAAGAAUACUAUUUCAAGGCUGCUCAUCCCAACACCCUAUCUGCUGGUUCUUCUAACUUGAAGUACCGGAACCCCAAAUAUCUUUCAAUGCUCAAUCACCUAAGGUUUUAUUUCCCUCAGGUUUAUCCAAAAUUG
rnacentral:misc_RNA from 1 species